GAUGAAGAACGCAGUGAAAUGCGAUAAUUAAUGUGAAUUGCAGAAUUCAGUGAAUCAUCGAGUCUUUGAACGCACAUUGCGCCCCCUGGUAUUCCGGGGGGCAUGCCUGUCCGCGCGUCAUUGCUGCCCUCAAGCACGGCUUGUGUGUUGGGCUUCCGUCCCUGGCAACGGGGACGGGCCCAAAAGGCAGUGGCGGCACCAUGUCUGGUCCUCGAGCGUAUGGGGCUUUGUCACCCGCUCCCGUAGGUCCAGCUGGCAGCUAGCCUCGCAACCAAUCUUUUUAACCAGGUUGACCUCGGAUCAGGUAGGGAUACCCGCUGAACUUAAGCAUAUCAAUAAGCGGAGGA
rnacentral:misc_RNA from 1 species